CCCUGUCUAGGGGUCACUACCUUGACGUGGUGACAGGGCUUGCGUCGCGCGAUGAUCCUCGGAGCUAUGCCGGCGGGGCUCCGGCCCCUGGCAGGGUCUCCCAAGCCGGAUUGGUUCGAGGGGAGCGGGCAGACCAAAGUGAC
rnacentral:ribozyme from 1 species